rnacentral:rRNA from 1 species
GAUGAACGCUGGCGGCGUGCCUAAUACAUGCAAGUCGAGCGAACAGACGAGGAGCUUGCUCCUCUGACGUUAGCGGCGGACGGGUGAGUCACACGAGGAUAACCUACCUAUAAGACUGGGAUAACUUCGGGAAACCGGAGCUAAUACCGGAUAAUAUAUUGAACCGCAUGGUUCAAUAGUGAAAGACGGUUUUGCUGUCACUUAUAGAUGGAUACGCGCCGCAUUAGCUAGUUGGUAAGGUAACGGCUUACCAAGGCAACGAUGCGUAGCCGACCUGAGAGAGUGAUCGGCGACACUGGAACUGAGACACGGUCCAGACUCCUACGGGAGGCAGCAGUAGGGAAUCUUCCGCAAUGGGCGAAAGCCUGACGGAGCAACGCCGCGUGAGUGAUGAAGGUCUUCGGAUCGUAAAACUCUGUUAUUAGUGAAGAACAAAUGUGUAAGUAACUAUGCACGUCUUGACGGUACCUAAUCAGAAAGCCACGGCUAACUACGUG